UGCUCUCUGCGGUGUUCGCCAGUGAGAUCGCAUUAUGCCUUGUCCCUACUUUUUGACCUCGGGACUGCACAUUUCGGCGCCUGUGUGCACAUUCGUUCUGCGAAUCGCCUGAUGGCUCGAAGCGCUUUCCCACGUGAACCUCUGGUUCAAGGUCACCGAUCUUGCAGCGGCACAGGCGGAGAGCAC
rnacentral:other from 1 species